GUUUUUAAAUUCUGUAUGAAUCACGCAAUGUAGACAGUACAGAUUGCAAGAUGACUCAAACAGUACCAGUUUCCUACAUUUAGUUUAAUCAAAGGAGUAACAAAUCCAAGGAUAGGAGAAGAAUAUAGGGCUACGCAAAAGAUAAAGGGAGAAAACCCACUGCUGUGUCUAGGUUGCAUUAGAGCUGUACACUCAAACUGCAAU